rnacentral:lncRNA from 1 species
AUGUUGAUGAGGAAAAUGAAAACUUAAUAGGCGACCUUUCAUCCCUUCAUUCCCAGUCAAGGUAAAUUGCAUUAAAAAGAACGACGCAACAAUGCUGGGUAGUUUCUUUUUACAUGUAAAAGGUUAGAUGGCUGUUUACAAUACUAAUGAGUGAAUAGAUAACUAUUUGGUCUGUCCAAUCUGUUUUGCAGUUCACACUUCUUUUAGUCUAAAAACACCUUUUGUGGAUCUCCGAACGGAGAAAAGAGGCCUGCAGAGAAGAGUUUCUAACCGGCGAAAAAUCUCAGAGGAAGAAUUUGGCGCUGCUGUAAAUAAAAGAGAGUUGAAAGGAGUGAGCAGCUUUGUACAGGCGGAGCAGGGUCUCAAUGAGACCGCCUACUCUGAGGGAUUCACCUUGGGCCUAAGCAAAAGCAGCGAACCUGAUAUCACGACCGAUAUCCUCAACUGUAACACAGCUCUCUACGCCCAGACCUCCAGCUUUUCCAUAAUUGCAACUCGGGACAAACCAACGGUGUUGGUGGAGCAGAUGGAGGCGGAGCAGAUGGAGGCGGAGCAGAUGGAGGCGGAGCAGAGCGAGCUGGGGAAAGAGAAGUCAAUGUAUGCAUUUCCAACUGAAGAGGGGGCCGAACUAAAGAAUAAAAGUUUUUCUCAGUCGGAGGAAGAUGCGGGUGCAGCUAAAUCUCAAAAGGAGGAAGAGAAGCGUACAGCUGAAGAUGCUGCAACCAUGUCUGAGGAAGAGGAAUGUAUAGCUGAAACACAGACAAGUGAAAGAGAUGAUGCAGCCGAGUCUGAGGAAGAGAACAGAGUGGAAGCUCAAACGGAGGAGAAAGAUGCAGCUGAUUCUCCCACUGAGGAGGAGGCUGCAGCGGAAUCUCAAACCGAAGAAGAAAUGUAG